GCCACCUUAGCUCAGCUGGUAGAGCAGCACUUUCGUAAAGUGAAGGUCCCCGGUUCGAAUCCGGGAGGUGGCU
rnacentral:tRNA from 1 species